rnacentral:rRNA from 1 species
AGCAGCCGCGGUAAUUCCAGCUCCAAUAGCGUAUAUUAAAGUUGUUGCAGUUAAAGAGCUCGUAGUUGAAUUUCGGGAUCAAUACGUCGGUCGUGCUUCGGUACGUACUGGCGUAAUUGAUUUCUCCCUUCUGACGAACCAUGAUGUCAUUAACUUGGUGUCAUGGGAAAUCAGGACUGUUACUUUGAAAAAAUUAGAGUGUUUAAAGCAGGCUUUAGCUUGAAUACAUUAGCAUGGAAUAAUGAAAUAGGACGUUUGAUCCUAUUUUGUUGGUUUCUAGGAUUGACGUAAUGAUUAAUAGGGAUAGUUGGGGGCAUUAGUAUUCAAUUGUCAGAGGUGAAAUUCUUGGAUUUAUUGAAGACUAACUACUGCGAAAGCAUUUGCCAAGGAUGUUUUCAUUAAUCAAGAACGAAAGUUAGGGGAUCGAAGACGAUCAGAUACCGUCGUAGU